UAAGAAUUCUCUCCAUAAAGUCGUAGUAUUAUCAUCUAUCAUCAUCUUGAAUGUGAUAUGAUCACCAUCUGUUCAGUCGUCAAACCUCCAUAUCAUCUUAAUAUCUUUGUAGAGCCGUUUAGUUCCGUACUGCCUACCUUCUCAUAAAUAGAUUACCCUAGUAUCCCAUUUCUUUCAUCAUAAUCAAGUAUUUUUGCACUGGGGAAUCAAUUAUGUAUGUAUUUUGUGACUCAUAUUGGGCUAAAGCUUAAUUUUCACCGCUCAACGCGUUUUUCAAAACAAUUGUGCAAUUCUUACGUCUUUGGCUUCUUUUUGAUUUUUCUUCGAUUUCAGGUUUGGCACGGCUACCCAUACUUGUACGAUCACAAAAAUGAAACAUUUUUUGUCUUCCUCAUCGCCGACGUUUACGAGUAUGUCAUCUUCUCACACGCGAUUGUAAUGUACUCAUACUCUAUCUUGUCAUUUAAUCAUAUUUUAUGUCACUUAUUGUUUAUUAGUAUUUCGUCUAAAAACUUUCCGGCACAGGCUUGGAAUGCGUGAUUGAUUUAACUAUUGAACCGUCUUUGUGUUAGAACAGUAUAUAUGUCGGAUUCGAAUACGAACAAGGACGCCAUCUAGACAUAAGACGAAUCAGCAUAAUGGUGGUGCAGUUUAUAAUAGGGAAGAGAGAACGCACGGAUAGGCAAGGAUGAUUUAAUAUGUUUUCUGUAACGGUUGGAAGUGUUCAGGCAAAAACUGACAAAUCAAACGUAUUGAUAUCACCUCGAAGUGUUAUCAUACGCAUAUGGUAAAACACCUGCAAGGAAACAGCUGCAACUACUUGCUUUGAUUCCUAAAUUUACCCAAGCCUGCAGCUGCAUCAUUCUUACAACGUUAGCAAGAAUAUUUCAAAGUCUUGGAAAUAUUUCGUUCUUGAAUUCUUGUGCAAGUUACACGUGAAUAAAUUGUUAAAUCAGCAA